AACGAACGCUGGCGGCAGGCCUAACACAUGCAAGUCGAGCGAGGACUUCGGUCCUAGCGGCGGACGGGUGAGUAACGCGUGGGAACGUGCCCUUUGCUACGGAAUAGCCCCGGGAAACUGGGAGUAAUACCGUAUGUGCCCGAGAGGGGGAAGAUUUAUCGGCAAAGGAUCGGCCCGCGUUGGAUUAGGUAGGUGGUGGGGUAAUGGCCUACCAAGCCGACGAUCCAUAGCUGGUUUGAGAGGAUGAUCAGCCACACUGGGACUGAGACACAGCCCAGACUCCGACGGGAGGAAGCAGUGGGGAAUCUUAGACAAUGGGGGAAAACCUGUUCUAGCCAUGCCGCGUGAGCGAUGAAGGCCUUAGGGUUGUAAAGCUCUUUCAGUGGGGAAGAUAAUGACGGUACCCACAGAAGAAGCCCCGGCUAACUCCGUGCCAGCAGCCGCAGUAAGAC
rnacentral:rRNA from 1 species